rnacentral:sRNA from 1 species
CUCCAUCUCGGCUGAGCCAGGCACCACGAUCCCCCCGGGAAGCCGUGUGACUUUCGUGUGCCGGGGCCCGGCUGGGGUUCAAACAUUCCGCCUGGAGAGGGAGAGUAGAUCCAAGUACAAUGAUACUAAUGACGUGUCUCAAGCUAGUUCAUCUGAGUCAGAGGCCAGAUUCCGCAUUGACUCAAAACCUCUGGAGGCCCGGACUCUCCCGACACAGAGCUCGGCUCCUCAGCUGGACCCAUGCAGAGGCCGUCGGACAACAGUCACAAUGAGCAUGCACCUGCUUCUCAAGGCCUGAGUGCUGAGCAUCUUUAUAUUCUCAUCGGGGUCUCAGUGGUCUUCCUCUUCUGUCUCCUCCUGGUCCUCUUCUUCCUCCGUCGCCAGAAUCAGAUAAAGCAGGGGCCCCCCAGAAGCAAGGACAAGGAGCAGAAGCCACAGCAGAGGUGAGGCCCCUGGGAAUGACUCCUGGACCUCCACCUGGUCCUCGGCCACCAGGCUGCCCCUGAGGUUCACUUUUAUUUUUCCUCUCAGGCCUGACCUGGCUGUUGAUGUUCUAGAGAGGACAGCAGACAAGACCACAGUCAGUGGACUUCCUGAGAAGGACAGAGAGACGGACACCUCGGCCCUGGCUGCAGGGAGUUCCCAGGAGGUGACGUAUGCUCAGCUGGACCACUGGGCCCUCACACAGAGGACAGCCCAGGCUGUGUCCCCACAGUCCACAGAGCCCGUGGCUGAGUCCAGCAUGUAUGCAGCCGUUGCCAGACACUGACCCCAUACCCACCUGGCCUCUGCACCUGAGGAUAGAAAGUCACUCUAGGAAAAGCCUGAAGCAACCA